UACGUAGGGUGCGAGCGUUGUCCGGAAUUAUUGGGCGUAAAGGGCUCGUAGGCGGUUUGUCGCGUCGGGAGUGAAAUCCACUGGCUUAACUGGUGGCUUGCUUUCGAUACGGGCAGACUAGAGGUAUGCAGGGGGAGAACGGAAUUCCUGGUGUAGCGGUGAAAUGCGCAGAUAUCAGGAGGAACACCGGUGGCGAAGGCGGUUCUCUGGGCAUUACCUGACGCUGAGGAGCGAAAGUGUGGGGAGCGAACAGG
rnacentral:rRNA from 1 species